AUGUCCAGCAUGUCGGACUCGGGGGGCGGCGGCCGCGCGGGCGCGGAGCUGAUGGCGGAGCAGUUCCACCUCAAGGUGCUGCACGCCGUCCUCGCCGUGCGCGCGCCGCGCCCGCUCGCCGCGCCGGCGCCGGCGGCCGCCUCGGCGUCCUUCCGCCGCCGCGACAGGUGGUUCCACCUCCCGCUCCACGACCCGCCGCCGCCCCCCUCGGCCGAGCGCCUGGAGGCGCCGCCCCCCGGGGAGCCGCUCGUCGUGGACAUCCACCUGGCCCCCGCCGGCUGCGGCGGAGCGGGCGGGGAGGUGGUCGAGAGGUGGACGGUCGCGUGCGAGCCCUGGCCGGACGCUGCGGCGGCCGGCGAGGGGAUGGCCGUGAACCGGGCGUACAAGCGGUGCAUGACCCUGCUGAGGUCGGUGUACACCACGCUCCGCCUGCUCCCCGCGUACCGCGUCUUCCGUCUCCUCUGCGCCAACCAGUCGUACAACUACGAGAUGGGCUACACCGUCGGCUCCUUCGCCGUGCCUUUCUCGCGCGCCCAGGAGUCUGACAUGCGCUCCCACCGCUUCGUUCCCGUUGACACCCAGCCCGGCCGUCUCGUCGUCUCCGUCCAGUACCUAUCCAGUCUCGCCGCGUUCAACCUGGAGAUCUCCUCCCUCUCCCCCUCCAUGUUGAUCACCAACUACGUGGGCAGCCCAGCAGCUGAGCCCAUGCGCAACUUCCCUUCUUCGCUCACGGAGGCCACGGGCUGCGCUUUCCCCCAGUCCUAUCAGCAGCAGCGUCCGCACAGCUGGGCGCCGCCUGCGCUCUGGCCGCUCGCCCCAGCGCAGCAGACGAGAUUUUCGCCACCGCCGUUGCACUACGCGUCACCAACUCCAUCGCCCCCCAAUUUUCCUGGUGGGUACCUGCAGUCGCCUCUGAGGGGGGAGUCUGCACCGGUGACCAUACCCGGCGUGAGAAGGAGCCCCGUGCACCGUCAGAGCAUGCUGGACCCGGUUAAAGGUUUAAUGCUGCCACCGCCAUCCCCGAGGAGAGGUGACAAGGGAGCAGCAGGUUCACAAGAGUCCCCAUCAGAUAUCAGCCGGUCAUUCGGAAGGCCAGAAGGACUUCGGAUGGGGGAUCCAUAUGGCAGCUCGUCACCAGGAUCCAAGGGUAAGGACAGUCGGGAUGAAUCUGGCCGAUUCUCUGCGCUCUCCUCUUGUGAUUCACCACGGCAAGAUGAUCUGGAUGAGGCAGAUUAUCCUUUUGCGGUGGAUGAUGUUGAUCCACCAACCUCCAGACCUGGGAGCAGUGAUGGAAAGGAGGCUGGAGAUCAGGCAGGCUCAUCAUCCCAUAAAUCACAAGACGCUGCAGUUGGUUCUCUGGUUCACUUGCUGAGAACUGCACGCCCUCUGCGAGAUUCUAGCUAUUCUUCUCAAACGUCAGGGGCCGAGUCUAACACUGUAGCCUCGACCAGUUCUGUCAUGUCUCGCAGGACAUCUGAUGCACUCGAGGAGCUGCAGUCUUUCAAAGCAAUCAGGGAGAGACUGCUGUCCGGGAGUAGAGCGAAAGAGCGUGACUCGCCGGAGAAGCCAUAG
rnacentral:rRNA from 1 species